rnacentral:rRNA from 1 species
UACGUAGGCAGCGAGCGUUGUUCGGAAUUACUGGGCGUAAAGAGUGUGUAGGCGGUGCUCUAAGUUCGGUGUGAAAUCUCCCGGCUUAACUGGGAGGGUGCGCCGGAAACUGGAGUGCUCGAGCGUGGGAGAGGAAAGCGGAAUUCCUGGUGUAGCGGUGAAAUGCGUAGAUAUCAGGAGGAACACCUGUGGUGUAGACGGCUUUCUGGACCGUAGCUGACGCUGAGACACGAAAGCGUGGGUAGCAAACAGG